rnacentral:rRNA from 1 species
UACGUAGGGUGCAAGCGUUGUCCGGAAUUAUUGGGCGUAAAGAGCUCGUAGGCGGUUUGUCGCGUCUGCUGUGAAAACUGGAGGCUCAACCUCCAGCCUGCAGUGGGUACGGGCAAACUAGAGUGCGGUAGGGGAGAUUGGAAUUCCUGGUGUAGCGGUGAAAUGCGCAGAUAUCAGGAGGAACACCGAUGGCGAAGGCAGGUCUCUGGGCCGAUACUGACGCUGAGGAGCGAAAGCGUGGGGAGCGAACAGG